rnacentral:rRNA from 1 species
UACCAGCACCCCCGAGUGGUCGGGACGUUUUAUUGGGCCUAAAGCAUCCGUAGCCGGUUCUACGAGUCUUCCGUUAAAUCCAACUGCUUAACAGGUGGGCUGCGGAAGAUACUAUAGAGCUAGGAGGCGGGAGAGGCAAGCGGUACUCGAUGGGUAGGGGUAAAAUCCGUUGAUCCAUUGAAGACCACCAGUGGCGAAGGCGGCUUGCCAGAACGCGCUCGACGGUGAGGGAUGAAAGCUGGGGGGAGCAAACCGG